AGUCACCACGUUGACUUGGAGCUUCUGUUUUCUCAUUUGUGAUACGCAGAGUUGUGUAAGGGUCAGUGGUAACUAAUCCUUAGAGUAGCAGCUGCCGCUACAACAACUAUGACUGUGAGUUAGGACCUGAAGGGAACUACACCGACUCGUUAAGGUGACCUGUGGGAUGUUUCUUGGCUCUGAAAGAGAUCCUGGUGCCCUGAGAUAUCCUGGACCUUGCAUCUUUCUGUCAGAAGGAGUGAGAAGGCUCAAUCUGUUUGUUGUGCUGCUGGCCCUGUUAGGACCUUGCUUGCUUCCGCUUCCAUCCGCUGGAAUCUCUACCCUACAGAGGGGGCGCCCAGAACCUGGUGACGGCAUCACUGAGAGGGGGGCCUGCGUUUUCCUCCCAAGAAGCUACAGUGCAGUAAUUAAUUCAUUGUUCAAAUUUCAGAGCAGGCAGCAUUUUAAUCCCCUCUGAAAUUGGUUUCGGAUGUGGAAGUCAUAGUUCUCCACCCUCUAAUUGCAAUGGGGAGAUAAUGCGGCAUCAGUAUCACAAUUUCGAGCACGGCAUCAGGCUGGAAAUAAAUACCAUUUAAGCUUUGAAAGCAUGGCUGGCUGGAAACAUUUCCUUUUCUAUUUCACAAAUUUAAUGUGGAGAAGAGGUUGUGCUUAUUCAAAGAACAGCUCCUUUGGAGGCAAGAAAAAAAAAAUUAAAUGGGCAUUUUGAAUUCUAAGUAAACAGUCUUUCAUGCCCAGAGUGAGUUUCAAGUUAAAUAGAGUGACUUGUUUGCAUAGACUGGCUGAAUAUUACCAUGCAGUUUAUCGAAUUUACAUUAUUUUUUUGUCAUGCUGUUUAUUUACGUAUACAUUGAACUUUGCACAAAAAUGCUCACUCUUGAGGGAGGGCAACUGUGACAAUGCCUAAAUCAGGACUGGGAGAAUGGAACAAGGGGACAAAAUGCAAUUUUGCAGCUGCUACUUGGCUAACGUGUUUCUCUGACAUCACUCUACUCGUCACUCAACUCUUAAUCCUCCCUUUUUCCUUAUGCAAACAGGAAUUGGAUUCUAUUUGGAGACUCUUGGGGAUUAUUUAAAAGUCCUUGAACUAGGUAAUGAAAACUCAGGCCCCUUGUUCCCUCCCUUAGUACAGCAACGUUCUGGCUUUUUCCAAUACCCAUUGUUAAUCAAGGGCUUUUCAAAUAAGAGCCUCUGAAAGUUUUAAUGCCUCAGUUAGGGUGUGCCUGCCUUGGGCUCUUAUCAA